rnacentral:misc_RNA from 1 species
GAAAAUUUCAUAGACAUUUUCUGCUAAUUAACACAAACAUCACCUAGCGUUUCCAACCAAGAAAUACCCAAAAUGAUGUCGACACCUCCCAACGGAAAUACAUAGCAGUCAGUGGAGACAGAAAAAUCACUUAGAAUAAUAGAGAGAGCCUUACAAAGCCCAGAAGAAGUUUCACAACGCCCAUCCCCCAAUCGCACUACAAAAGGAGAAGUCACUUGAG